rnacentral:rRNA from 1 species
UACGUAGGGUGCAAGCGUUGUCCGGAAUUAUUGGGCGUAAAGAGCUCGUAGGCGGUCUGUCGCGUCUGCUGUGAAAACUCGGGGCUUAACCCCGGGCCUGCAGUGGGUACGGGCAGACUAGAGUGCGGUAGGGGAGACUGGAAUUCCUGGUGUAGCGGUGAAAUGCGCAGAUAUCAGGAGGAACACCGGUGGCGAAGGCGGGUCUCUGGGCCUUACCUGACGCUCAGGCGCGAAAGCUAGGGGAGCGAACAGG